CCCGUGAUAGCUCAGUUGGUAGAGCGGAGGACUGUAGUUGUUAACUAGGAAUCCUUAGGUCACUGGUUCGAAUCCUGUUCGCGGGA
rfam:Biomphalaria glabrata isolate BB02 unplaced genomic scaffold LGTN_random_Scaffold7473, whole genome shotgun sequence.